rnacentral:rRNA from 1 species
GACGAACGCUGGCGGCGUGCUUAACACAUGCAAGGCGAACGGAAAGGCCCUGCGUUGGGGGGGUGCGCGAGGGGCGAACGGGUGAGGAACACGGGAGUAACCGGCCCUGGACUGGGGGAUAACUUCAGGAAACUGGGGCUAAUACCGGAUAGGAGCUCCUGCUGCAUGGUGGGGGUUGGAAAGUUUCGGCGGUUGGGGAUGGACUCGCGGCUUAUCAGCUUGUUGGUGGGGUAGUGGCUUACCAAGGCUUUGACGGGUAGCCGGCCUGAGAGGGUGACCGGCCACAUUGGGACUGAGAUACGGCCCAGACUCCUACGGGAGGCAGCAGUGGGGAAUAUUGCACAAUGGGCGGAAGCCUGAUGCAGCAACGCCGCGUGCGGGAUGACGGCCUUCGGGUUGUCAACCGCUUUCGCCUGUGACGAAGCGUGAGUGACGGUAAUGGGUAAAGAAGCACCGGCUAACUACGUG